GUCUACGGCCAUACCACCCUGAACACACCCCAUCUCACAAGCUAAGCAGGUUCAGGCCUGCUUAGUACCUGGAUGGCUGGAUGAGAAUUUCCUGCUUUACUUA
rnacentral:rRNA from 1 species